GGAUAAAGACUUCUUUUGGCCAACUAAUUGACACUUGCUGAUAUUAUUGAAAGACUUGUUUCGAAACAGCCGGAGCUGCAAAAGUGCGUAGCAGAAUCGCCAAGAUGGCGCAAAAACAAAGCAAACCACAUGAUGUCGUCAGCCAAUAUGCAAGAAGCAAUCCACAUGACGUCACCUACGAGUCUUCUCGCGAAGCUGUGAAACUUGGCCAAGAAUCUAGCGUUUACAGGAACGUUGCGGUAUGGAGUAAGAAUUGGAUAGCUUUCCGAUAUGCUGCGUUGUUUUCUCUAGCUUCUUUUCUGUUGAUCACCGAUAUUCAUUGCUGUGGUCUUCUCUUCAUGUAUGAUUCUGAUAACAUAGUUUAUGGUUUGGUUAUUAUGGGAAUCGGAAACCUUAUCGCGUUCACUGUCUUGGCUGCACAAGCUCGAGAACUCGUCGACGAUUCGAAGACCGCAGACGGCGUACCUUGGUGGUGUUAUGGUUGCACAAACUCCAGAUGCAAUUGAAGUGGAUAUUGCUCCCGUAGCUGCGAGUUUGGUCUCGUAUUUCAUGAAUGAGAAAAAAUGCUUAACGAUCCUUGACAUAUUAGAAUGAAUACGUGCUAUAAAUAUUCUGCCUUGUCCGUAUGUGGUCGUAGGAGAAUCCGGGACAUUUUGUAAUUUUAUUUUGCAAGUCAGGUUUCUCGGUUAGGUGUUUGGUUACGUCAUACGUGUGUUUAUAAUGAUUUGUAAUGUAAUCAGUGUUCGGAUAUACUAGCAAAUGUUAUGCCAGGAUUUUCUUAUAAAAUAUUCAUUGCUUGUGGAA